GUGAAGUUCAUCAUCAUUUUCCUUUUGAGCCACCGUGAGUACUACAGCUGCAAGAAAAUGAAUUCUGCCAAUCAAUAUCAACUUGGAAGAGGAUACUGAGUCUCAGAUUGCGAUGCAGCCCUAACCAACACCUGAAUCACUGUCGUGGAAGAUUCUAAGCAGAGGACCCAGUUAAGCCAGGCUCAGACUCAAGACCCCCUGGAAACUGUGAGAUAAAGCUGCUAUAUUUGUGGUGUAUUCUUUACCAGCUGAGCCACAAGGGAAGCCCUAUACUGAUUUGGAAAAGAAUCUCCAAAGUGUGUUAAAGCCUGAAAAGGUGAGAAUUUGGCCCCCUGCUUCCGUCCAUGCAUUCCAUCCUCACAACAUCAGAGUGGAGUAAUGGGGAGAAUGAUUCAUCUCAUUUUGUAGAUAACUGACUCCUGAGAUUAAAAGGACAGAAAAACAAAGAAAAAUUAAGGGAAAAAUAGAAGUAAGCAUAUUACGGACCAGGAUGCAAGAUGAGAAAACCAACAUCUGCAGAUUAUAGAAAUGAUGUUAGACAAAAAGCAAGUUCAAGCACUUUUUAAAUUCAAGUUCAAAAUGAGUCUUAAAGCAGUGGAGACAACUUGCAACAUCAACAACUAAUUGCUCCCAGGAACUGCUAACAAACAUACAGUGGUGGUUCAAGAAGUUUUGCAAAGGAGAUGAUAGCCUUAAAGAUGAGGAUUGUAGUGGCCAGCCAUCAGAAGUUGUCAAUAACAAGCUGAGAGCAUCAUCAUGAUUCUCUUACAACUAAGAGAAGUUGCUGAAGAAAUCAAUGUUGACCAUUCAAUGGUUGUUCAGCCUUUGAAAAGCAAAUUGGAAAGGUGAAAAAGCUCCAUAAGUGGGUGCCUUGUGAAGUGACCUAAAAUACAAAAAGACAUCACUUUGAAGUAUUGUCUUCUCUUAUUCUACACAGUAACAAUGAAACAUUUCUUGGUCGAAUUGUGACAUGCAACAAAAAGUGGAUUUUAUAUGACAGCUGGUGAUGACCAGCUCAGUGGCUGGACUGAGUAGAAGCUCCAAAGCAAUUCCCCAAACCCAAUAGCACCAAAAAUAUAUCAUGGUCACUGUUUGGUGGUCUGUUGCUUGUCUGAUCCACUACAGCUUUCUGAAUUCCAUUACAUCUGAGAAGUAUGCUCAGCAAAUUGAUGCAAUGCACUGAAAACUGCAGUGCCUGCAGCUGGUAUUGGUCAACAGAAUGGGCCCACUUCUGCAAGACUGCAUGUUGCACAACCAAUGCUUCAAAAGUAGAAUGAAUUGGGCUAUGAAGUUUUGCCUCACCCACCAUACUCACCUGACCUCUCACCAACUGGCUACCAUUUCUUCAAGCAUCUCGAUAAAUAUUCGCAGAGAAAAUGUUUCCACAACCAGCAGGAAGUAGAAAAUGUUUUCUAAGAGUUCAUCAAAUCCUGAAGCAUGGAUUUUUUGCUAUAGGAGUAAAUAAAUUUGUUUCUCUUUGGCAAAAA